rnacentral:rRNA from 1 species
GCUGCUGACGGUGGACGCCCCCAUGAGCAUGUUCAUCACCACGAUCUGCAGCUGGAUGGCCUCCAGCGGCGACGCGCCGCCCAUGAUGAGCCCCGUCAUGGCCCCCGGCAGCGCGAUCAGCCCCACCGUCUUGGCGUUGUCGAUCACCGGCGACAGCGCGAUCACCAGCGACCGCCGCACCUGCUGCACCGUCGCCUGCCGCGGCGUCGCCCCCAGCGCCAGCGCCGUCUCCACCUGGCUCCGCUGCGUCUUGACGUCCUCGUGGAGCUUCUUCAUGGUGACGCCGGUGACGGUCAUGGCGUUGCCGACCAUCAUGCCGGCCACGGGGAUGAUGUAGCGGGGCGUGAAGGGGAACACGCUGAGCACCACGAGCAGGAACAUGGUGACGGCGGUGCCGGCGAGGAUGGACACGCCGGCGAUGUACCCGCCGCGCGGGACCUGCCUGGCGCGGCGGCCCGCGGUGUAG